UACGGAGGGGGCUAGCGUUGUCCGAAGUUACUGGGCGUAAAGCGUGCGUAGGCGGGUUGGUAAGUCCGCUGUGAAAGCCCGGAGCUCAACUCCGGAGGGUCGGUGGAUACUGCCAGUCUUGAAGGUGCUAGGGGGAGAUGGAAUUACCGGUGUAGCGGUGAAAUGCGUAGAUAUCGGUAGGAACACCAGUGGCGAAGGCGGUCUCCUGGGGCAUUCUUGACGCUGAGGCGCGAAAGCUGGGGGAGCGAACGGG
rnacentral:rRNA from 1 species